rnacentral:lncRNA from 1 species
UGGGAUGUGAUUGCUGAAAGAGGCCACAGGCCAAGGAAUGCAAACACCUCUAGAAACUGGGAAACACAAGGAAGCCAGUUCUUCCCCAAAGCCCGCAGAAGGCUUUACUUCUUGAUACUAGCAAGGGAGCCCUUUUGACCUCCAGAAAUGUAGAAUUAUAAAUUUAUAUUGCUUUAGAUUACUAAGUUUGUAAUAACUUGUCAUAGCAACAACUGGAAACAAGUACAGAGACUACUACAGGACCAGUUAGUGAAAUAAGUAGGGAAAUAAGAGAGUGUCAUGUUCUGAUGACCAAAUGAGGAAAGUGUUUCAAGAAGGAAGGAGUGAUCAACUAUUUUUCAUGCCGCUGAUAGGACAGCCUUCUGGUUUGGGAAACAUUAAGGUAACUGGAAAUGGAAGGAAAAAUACAUCACAGAGGAAUUUUUAUUUGUGGAUUUUCAAUUUCCAUAAAAUCAAUAAUUUUCCUUCUGAGACUGCUAAAGUGGAUUCUAAC